GGCCAAUGAUGUAACUGUUUCCUGGGUCGUGAGGGCUUUGGGGCUCUUCUUUACUGAGUUUACCUUUGACUUCGGUCAGAAUUGUUCCGGGUUUCUUUCUCCCACAAGAUGGCAGCGUCUAAAGACGAGUUACUGCUGCCGCGGCUUCCGGAGCUCUUCGAAACUAGCAAGAAACUUCUGGAGGAAGUGGAAGUAGCAACUGAACCCACCGGCUCCCGGACAAUCCAGGAUAAAGUGACCAAAGGAUUGGACCUCCUUGAGAAGGCUGCUGGAAUGUUAUCGCAGCUUGAUUUGUUCAGCCGAAAUGAAGAUCUGGAAGAGAUUGCUUCCACCGACCUGAAGUACCUGAUGGUGCCAGCGUUGCAAGGAGCUCUCACCAUGAAGCAAGUCAACCCCAGCAAGCGUCUAGAUCAUUUGCAGCGGGCUCGAGAACACUUCAUAAAUUUCUUAACUCAGUGUCAUUGCUAUCAUGUGGCAGAGUUUCAGCUACCCCAAACCAAGAAUAACUCAGCUGAAAAUAACACUGCUAGCUCCUCCAUGGCCUAUCCAAAUCUCGUUGCUAUGGCAUCUCAAAGACAGGCUAAAAUAGAGAGAUACAAGCAGAAGAAGGAGGUGGAGCAUAGGUUGUCUGCACUGGAAUCUGCUGUGGAAAGUGGUCAAGCAGAUGAUGAGCGUGUUCGUGAAUAUCACCUCCUUCACCUUCGGAGGUGGAUUGCUAUCAGCUUAGAAGAGAUGGAGAGCAUUGACCAGGAAAUAAAGAUCCUCAAAGAAAAAGACGCUCCAAGAGAGGCAUCAACUUCUCACUCAUCUCUUCCAGAGAAGCCUCCAAUGAAACCCUUCAUACUCACUCGGAACAAGGCCCAAGCCAAAGUAUUUGGAGCUGGUUAUCCAAGUCUGGCAACUAUGACGGUGAGUGACUGGUAUGAACAGCAUCAGAAAUACGGAGCAUUACCAGAUCGGGGACUAGCCAAGCCGACACCAGCUGACUUCACACAAGCAGCUCCACAGCAGCAGGAUCAGGAAGAAAAGGAUGAAGAGAGUGAAGAGAAAGCUGUGCACAGACUGCGAGAGUGGGACGACUGGAAGGACACCCAUCCCAGAGGCUACGGCAACCGGCAGAACAUGGGCUAAUCCUCCUGAAGGGCAGAAGGACCACGUGGUGCGCACCAAGGACAACCUCAGCAGGGUGCAGUGAAGGCAGCCGUGCAGAGUCUUGCUUUGCAUUCAGUUGUGUCAAAUAAUUGCUUGUACCCUAGAGGCUCCUGAAACUGGUAGCGCAUGGAUGACAUUUCCUACAGAGCUAGAAGCAGUGUUCUCAGCCUUCCUCCAGUUGUUCCCAGGCUACCUCUAGCCACAGCACUAUGUGCCUGAUGCCUCACUGCUCAGAAACCAAAAAAGCACCACCUUCUCUACGCCCACCAGAGCCAGGCCUUCCAGGGUCCCGGAGGCAGCUGGUUUGGGUGAAUUCCAGGAACCAGGCUUCUCGAUGCUUUUGACAGUUUUGUUUAUUCUUGAGUGGCCUUAAAGUCUUGCCUCACCUGAGCACUGGGAUUCCAGAUGUGUACCAUCAUUACCAAUAUAAAGUAAUGUUUCUUCUCGAGCCGGG